rnacentral:misc_RNA from 1 species
GGGAGUAAAAGUCGUAACAAGGUCUCCGUUGGUGAACCAGCGGAGGGAUCAUUACAGAGUUGCAAAACUCCCAAACCAUUGUGAACGUUACCUAUCCCGUUGCUUCGGCGGGCGGCCCGGGCCCCGCGCCCGGCGCCCCCCGGCCCCCCGUGGGCGCCCGCCGGAGGUAAACCAAACCCUUGAAUUGCAUGGCCUCUCUGAGUCUUCUGUACUGAAUAAGUCAAAACUUUCAACAACGGAUCUCUUGGUUCUG